CUCCAGAACUGGGAGAAAUAAAUUCCUUUUCUUUAUAAAUUACCCAGUCUCAGGUAUUUUGUUAUAGCAGCAGAAAUGGACUAGGACACUCACUAAGAUGAGCGAGUACUCUACGGCUGGUCACAACGUGGAAGGGACUGGAAUGUUUGCAGCCUGAGGAGUUGCUUCUGUAGAGGAGGAGAUUUGGAGUGUCGCCUUCUGGAUCCGAGUGGCCCUGCUUAUUCAUAAGGAUGGAAAUGACUUGGUAAAUAUUCCAUUUCUGCCAAGAUGCCCGCCAACCAGUGCAUGCCAAGACUAUGAGGCACCAUGAAUCCCUGGCUGGCUCACAUGAAGGCAAAUCCCCUUCAGGACCAGGAAGACCAGGUCACUUUGUCCAAAGGUGGUCCAGUUCCAGAUACUCAGGUCUUCUUUAGACGUCACCUUCUCUUGACCUGCUUUCUCUUGGCCUAGCACCUCUUUCAGUCAUCACUGAUAUCACUUGCUUUCAGAUUCAGAUAUCUAAAGACUCUCCCCUAGGGCACAAAGUCCUAUCUCAUCCAUCUUUAUGAAGAUAGUGCACAGUGGCGGCAGGGGGUACCUGAAAGACCUGGGCUUUCACAUUGUGCAGACCUGGGUGUGAGCUGGGCUCCACUGUGUGCCAGCUGAGAUUGGGUGAUUUGCUGAACUGCUCUGCACUUCAAGUUUCUCAUCUGUUAGCAGGGAUUUAAAAUCUGUUUUGCAAGGAUGUUGUGUGGAGAUGAAAUGUGACACCUAUGUGAUGCAUGCAAACAGUCCCUGGCACAAAAUCAGUGCUUGAUGCCAUGACUCAGAGGCUCUGCCUGGUCCCUUGCCCAAGCUCGUCUAUCCUUCUUUUUAUGUCCCUUAGUAUCUUUCUUAGCUCCUUCCAUAGGAGAUAUCUGGGCCCAUUUUCUGAGCAAGCACCAGCUCUAUCCCACAAUUUCUACCUCCUUCCUCCCCACUUUCCUCCUCACCAUCCAAUUCUGGGUCCGUGGACUUAGUUACAUACUAGUCAGCUCUCUGCCAGCCCUGAGGGCCUGGCUGGACUCCUGCUGGAUGGGACCCUGUGCCUUGGGUGGAGGGAGGAUCUGGACAGUCUUCCAGCAGCCUCUGCACUGUUGGCCAUGGAGUUGAGGGCAGUGGAUCCCUAUGGUUCGUCUCAGUUGCUGUGCCAUCAAGACUGGGGGAUGGGGUGGGCAGUGAGUAGAUUAGAUCUCAAUAUUCAAGUGUUGUCUGUGGACCGGCAGCACUGGCGGUCACCUUGGAGCUUGUUAGAAAUGAUAACUCUUGGCCCACUGAAUCACAAUCUUCAUCUUAACAAGAUUUCCAGUCAUUCCUUCUGAGCCCUGGGUUGGCCCCUAGUGGGCAAGUGCCCCUCAAAUCACUACACAGGAGAACUGUUGGCAAGAUGAUUCUUCCCUCCGGGGUCAGCAAAGGUAUCUGCAAAUCCUUCAGUAGGGGUGUAUGUGGUUAAAACACGCACUAAAGUCUAAUUUAUUUAUGCAGGAAUCAUUUUUAAAUUUCUUUCCAGAUUGUUAAAGUAAACCUUUGAAUCCUGACCCAUCUGUGAUGUAAGAUGUGACUGGCCUUGCUUCAUGUAUAGAAGUCACACCCCACAAUAACAAUGUAGGGGAGGGAAGGUAAUAUCUUUUCCUCACCCAUGGAACGAGGGCCUUAUGACCUACUUUAGCUCAGGGAAUUCUUUUAUGGUCUGCUUCAGGUUAGCAGGCCUGUGCCCAUGUCAUUCAGUAAAGUCUCCCUAAACCAUAGCCACUCUGACCCUUUCUCAUUACGGAGACAGAAUCACACACACAUACACACAUACACGAACAGGCCAUGACAUGAUGUUUUCCACCCCCGAACCUGUGCUUAUAUGUUAUCUCUUCUGCCUGGGAUGUCCUUGCUGUCCUUUGGGUGAAUUUUAGUCAUCCUUUAAGUUUCAUUUAAAGUGUCAGCUCAGUCACAGUGCCCUGUGUAAGAUGGCUGCGUGAUGGUGUUUCUGCUGUUACCACAUUGCAUUCCAGUGUUCUGUUGUUGAUGUGAUCACCUCCUGGAAACACUGAACUCAGUGAGGGCAAGUUCUGUGUUGUAUUUAUUCAUCUUUGUAUCUCCACACCCAGCACCAUGACAGGCAGGCUGGAGAUGCCCCAUAGAUGCUUAUUGCAUACGCAGAAAAAAAGCUUAGCUUGCUGUGAUGGCUUUUUGUUUUGUCCUUUGGAGUUUAAUCAAAAUAAAAGAAAAUAACUGCAGACUCUAAACGUUUGGAAAGUUUCUGUAAAACCUUACAACCCAAAUGCAAAAAAAAGAUCAAAGGGAAAUUAGACAGCAAUUUGUUUUUAAAAAAUGUAGUGGCAUUUUAAUUAGAGAAUAUUCUUCUCAUUGAAAUGAGAAACUCCCAGGGAAAUACUUGAUGUGUUAGAGUCUCCCUCCUCACAUUUUUUUCUCCAGCUAUUACAGGACCUGCUGAGCAGGCUUUGUGAAGGAAAGCUCCUAGGAUGCUGCACAAUGAAGACACUCAGCACUUACACAGCGCUCUGCUCUUGCCACAAUUACGCCUUUCACUUCUCCCAGCCCUGCGGGGGGGAAGCCCGAGUUAUUGAAUUUGAUGGCUAAGAGGCCCUGAGGAUAAAUGACUUGUUCGAGUCUAGGCAACUGGACUGUCACAGGCAGAAUUCAGAGUUUUGGACCUGCUUCUCAUGCCAAGCAGUUUGUUCUGACCUCAGAAGGGAAUCCCUUUUUGACAAGCAAUGCACAUGGACCCCAAAGAGUCCCCAGAAGGCAGUCGUUUGGAGGGGAUCACUGGGUGUCACAAAUCGGUAACAUUUUCAAAACUCAAUAUGGGGAUGACUGUAGGAUUGCCAUCUUGUAAUCUUGCUAAUUAGGAAUAUGAAGAAAAUAUAUGGCCAGAAUUAUGCCUUAAAGAAAAUAAAUUUUUAUGCUAAAAAAUAAGGAAUUGUUUCAGAACAAAGCCCAGGUUUUUUUUUUAAUUGAAUAUAGUUUUAUUAAAAACACAGCACAUUGUAGUUAUUUUUCUCAUUUUACAGGAGACCAAUGAAAACUGGCAGUAGUUUAGAUUAGUGCUUGGGAAUGGCUGUUUUUAACUUAAUAUGCUAGAUCCAUGUUUUCUGUAGAAAUGCCAAAGCCAACCUUCUGUAGCAGAAAAAGUGAGUUAAGAUUCACCUGCUGGCAUUCUAUGCCCAGGGCAGUCACCUGCUUCCUCUUUCUGCAACUAUGGAAGUAGGCGUUACUUGACAUUCUGAAAGUACUGUCAGAAAGUAAUUCUGACAGCACUUUCCAUAAUUGGUGUGUUGUGGCUCUGCUUCAUGUUCACUAGAGAGAGAAGAUGGAAGACUAAGGAAGCCUCGAUGUAAUCUUUCUUAGUGAGUUUUAGGUAGGAGUAGGUGAUAUAGUUUGGCUGUGUCCCCACCCAAAUCUCAUCUUGAAUUGUAACUUCCACAAUUCCUAAGUGUUGUGGGAGGGACCUGGUGGAA